CUUAUAUUCUGUAGCAAGGUUAACUGUAUAGGGGAGCCGGAGGGAAACCGAGUCUUAACCGGGCGUUAAGUUGCAGGGUAUAGACCCGAAACCCGGUGAUCUAGCCAUGGGCAGGUUGAAGGUUGGGUAACACUAACUGGAGGACCGAACCGACUAAUGUUGAAAAAUUAGCGGAUGACCUGUGGCUGGGGGUGAAAGGCCAAUCAAACCGGGAGAUAGCUGGUUCUCCCCGAAAGCUAUUUAGGUAGCGCCUCGUGAAUUCAUCUCCGGGGGUAGAGCACUGUUUCGGCUAGGGGGCCAUCCCGGCUUACCAACCCGAUGCAAACUGCGAAUACCGGAGAAUGUUAUCACGGGAGACACACGGCGGGUGCUAAUGUCCGUCGUGAAGAGGGAAACAACCCAGACCGCCAGCUAAGGUCCCAAAGUCAUGGUUAAGUGGGAAACGAUGUGGGAAGGCCCAGACAGCCAGGAUGUUGGCUUAGAAGCAGCCAUCAUUUAAAGAAAGCGUAAUAGCUCACUGGUCGAGUCGGCCUGCGCGGAAGAUGUAACGGGGCUAAACCAUGCACCGAAGCUGCGGCAGCGACACCGUGUGUUGUUGGGUAGGGGAGCGUUCUGUAAGCCUGUGAAGGUGUGCUGUGAGGCAUGCUGGAGGUAUCAGAAGUGCGAAUGCUGACAUAAGUAACGAUAAAGCGGGUGAAAAGCCCGCUCGCCGGAAGACCAAGGGUUCCUGUCCAACGUUAAUCGGGGCAGGGUGAGUCGACCCCUAAGGCGAGGCCGAAAGGCGUAGUCGAUGGGAAACGGGUUAAUAUUCCCGUACUUGGUGUUACUGCGAAGGGGGGACGGAGAAGGCUAUGUUGGCCGGGCGACGGUUGUCCCGGUUUAAGCGUGUAGGUAUGUGUUCCAGGUAAAUCCGGUUCACUUUAACACUGAGGCGUGACGACGAGGCACUACGGUGCUGAAGCAACAAAUGCCCUGCUUCCAGGAAAAGCCUCUAAGCAUCAGGUAACAUCAAAUCGUACCCCAAACCGACACAGGUGGUCAGGUAGAGAAUACCAAGGCGCUUGAGAGAACUCGGGUGAAGGAACUAGGCAAAAUGGUGCCGUAACUUCGGGAGAAGGCACGCUGACACGUAGGUGAAGUGAUUUACUCACGGAGCUGAAGUCAGCCGAAGAUACCAGCUGGCUGCAACUGUUUAUUAAAAACACAGCACUGUGCAAACACGAAAGUGGACGUAUACGGUGUGACGCCUGCCCGGUGCCGGAAGGUUAAUUGAUGGGGUCAGCGCAAGCGAAGCUCCUGAUCGAAGCCCCGGUAAACGGCGGCCGUAACUAUAACGGUCCUAAGGUAGCGAAAUUCCUUGUCGGGUAAGUUCCGACCUGCACGAAUGGCGUAAUGAUGGCCAGGCUGUCUCCACCCGAGACUCAGUGAAAUUGAACUCGCUGUGAAGAUGCAGUGUACCCGCGGCAAGACGGAAAGACCCCGUGAACCUUUACUAUAGCUUGACACUGAACAUUGAGCCUUGAUGUGUAGGAUAGGUGGGAGGCUUUGAAGUGUGGACGCCAGUCUGCAUGGAGCCGACCUUGAAAUACCACCCUUUAAUGUUUGAUGUUCUAACGUGGACCCGUGAUCCGGGUUGCGGACAGUGUCUGGUGGGUAGUUUGACUGGGGCGGUCUCCUCCUAAAGAGUAACGGAGGAGCACGAAGGUUGGCUAAUCCUGGUCGGACAUCAGGAGGUUAGUGCAAUGGCAUAAGCCAGCUUGACUGCGAGCGUGACGGCGCGAGCAGGUGCGAAAGCAGGUCAUAGUGAUCCGGUGGUUCUGAAUGGAAGGGCCAUCGCUCAACGGAUAAAAGGUACUCCGGGGAUAACAGGCUGAUACCGCCCAAGAGUUCAUAUCGACGGCGGUGUUUGGCACCUCGAUGUCGGCUCAUCACAUCCUGGGGCUGAAGUAGGUCCCAAGGGUAUGGCUGUUCGCCAUUUAAAGUGGUACGCGAGCUGGGUUUAGAACGUCGUGAGACAGUUCGGUCCCUAUCUGCCGUGGGCGCUGGAGAACUGAGGGGGGCUGCUCCUAGUACGAGAGGACCGGAGUGGACGCAUCACUGGUGUUCGGGUUGUCAUGCCAAUGGCACUGCCCGGUAGCUAAAUGCGGAAGAGAUAAGUGCUGAAAGCAUCUAAGCACGAAACUUGCCCCGAGAUGAGUUCUCCCUGAGACUUUAGGUCUCCUGAAGGAACGUUGAAGACGACGACGUUGAUAGGCCGGGUGUGUAAGCGCAGCGAUGCGUUGAGCUAACCGGUACUAAUGAACCGUGAGGCUUAACCUU
rnacentral:rRNA from 1 species